ACGCUAGCACGACUGUCCAGAGACCAACGACGUUCUCAUCGGUCAUGAAUUUAUUCACAAUAAUAAGCAUAUUCUUAUUUUGAAAAGAUGCAAACAUGUUAUGAGCAAGCGUGCUUAAAAUUUGAUUUAAUUGAUAGAUUCCAUUUGUGUGUUAACCGUAGCUCAUAACCACAAAACUAUCAAAAGAACAACUCUAUCGGUCGCCUCUUUCUCUUGGCUGUUGGUUGCCAAUAGUGGGCGUCGCCGAUCGCCAAUGCUGCCGCCGUCUAUUGCUGCCAGUCAUGGUCGUGGUCAUCAGUCGUUCAUCACUUUUCAUCAUCGAUGAGAAGUACUGUCCAAUGGGAUCACGUCGUGUUCGUCAUCCAUGCGAUGAAAAAUGAAAUUUUAAUCCAAAGCAUGAGAUUGCAUCACUCGUUUUAAGAUGGGCGGGAUAUGGACAAUGAAUCAAAGCCUAACCCUGAGGGUGAGAAGUGGAAAGAAAGAAUGCAGUGAGGAGUAAAAGAAUCAUAAACACCAAACGACGUUUCAAAGAGAUUCUGGGGUUGAAGGAGAUGGAGAGCCCCAAGUUCAAGUUCAAGGUGAUAUGGCGGCUAUGGCGAGAGCUUGCCCAGCGGUUGAUCCCAAGUACCUUCCCUGAGGCCACCAUGUCUGCUUCACCAUCUCCAAUUCGGAUCCUUUCGUGCAAACUCUCAAGCGCAAUCAACGGCAAUGGAACUCGGAAAACAGCGAGGGCAAAGCAGGAAUAAACUGAAGUCAUAUAUCCAAGAAUGUAGCCGGAUACAAAACGAACUGAUUCAGCUGUGGGCGUCAUCAAUGAGUCAGCAAAGGCCACAAACGGCUUCAAGCGAUCGCCCUCAGAAACUCAACGCCGGAUACGCGCAAUCCCGAGGCGGAAGCCCAAAGCAAUAAUGGAGAGGGACAGAUGACGGAAGGAGAGGAGGCUGGAGCAUGGUGCUUGAAGGAUCGCGGAGCGAACGUAGUCAGUUCAAGAUCGAGACCAUCACAGGCGAGGCGGCGAUAGCGAUGGUCGCUGGAGAGGGGGAAACCCAAACGGAGGAGCCAUCAACGGUAGCAGAGACAUGCCGGCGGAGGGAGAGGAGCUGCGCCGGAGAUGGAGGCGGAGGCGGCGGCGGAGGCGCAGCGACGGCAAGUGUCCAACCGGCUCGAGUCAUGGGCUGAUGGAAUGGGCUGGGCUGCGCUUGUGGUCGGACCGGGCUGCAUAUGGCUGAACUUAAGGGAUGGGCUGGAGCUUUAUUAUUUUCUUAUCAAUCUCUCUUCUUUUCCUUUUCAUUUUUUAACUUUUCAUUUUUGUAUUUAUUUAGUUUUCUAUAAUAACGCAUUCUUGAUUUGUCCAGCAUUAUGCAUCUCAUGAAGGAGAUAUAAUAUACGUAUCACUAAGUUGAUGCACUUUGUAACAA